CCCGGGGCGCGCCCCGGGCGGGGCGAGACCCCUGCGUCUAGUUGCUACCAUUACUCUCUGGAGCAGUGGAGCGAAUUAGACGGACCGCCACAGUUAAUGUGGAGGAAGGAAGGGGCCACGGCAGGUCAGUAUGCCCCGAAACCCUAGGGCUACACGCGGGCUGCAAUGGUAUUGACAAUGUGUUCCGAAUCCGAAAGGAGGAGGCAAUCAUCAAACAAUAUCUCAGUUAUGACUGAGGGCUGUAACUCGCCCUCACGAAUAUGGAAUCCCUAGUAACCGCGCGUCACUACCGCGCGGUGAAUACGUCCCUGCUCCUUGCACGAAUUCGCCG
rnacentral:rRNA from 1 species